rnacentral:rRNA from 1 species
GACGAACGCUGGCGGCGUGCCUAAUGCAUGCAAGUCGAGCGACGAAUAGGUGCGGGUAACCAAGCCUAUUACGGAGCGGCGAACGGGUGAGUAACACGUGAGUAACCUGCCCCGCAGACCGGGAUAGCCCAGGGAAACUUGGAUUAAUACCGGAUACCCUCCUUUGAUCACAUGAUCUUGGGAGGAAAUGUUUUUGUCGCUACGGGAUGGGCUCACGGCCUAUCAGCUUGNGGUGGGGUAACGGCCUACCAAGGCGUCGACGGGUAGCUGGUCUGAGAGGAUGAUCAGCCACACUGGAACUGAGACACGGUCCAGACUCCUACGGGAGGCAGCAGUAGGGAAUAUUGCGCAAUGGGGGAAACCCUGACGCAGCGACGCCGCGUGAGCGAUGAAGGACUUCGGUUCGUAAAGCUCUGUCGCAGGGGAAUAAUACUGAAGGUACCCUGUAAGAAAGAAUCGGCUAACUUCGUGCCAGCAGCCG